CCUACGGGUGGCUGCAGUGAGGAAUAUUGGUCAAUGGUCGCAAGACUGAACCAGCCAUGCCGCGUGCAGGAUGAAGCAUCUAUGGUGUGUAAACUGCUUUUGUACGGGAAGAAACAACUCUUCGUGAAGAGUCUUGACGGUACCGUAAGAAUAAGGAUCGGCUAACUCCGUGCCAGCAGCCGCGGUAAUACGGAGGAUCCAAGCGUUAUCCGGAAUCAUUGGGUUUAAAGGGUCCGUAGGCGGUUUUGUAAGUCAGUGGUGAAAUCCGGCAGCUU
rnacentral:rRNA from 1 species